CAUUUCUUAUUAAACGGGUGAAAGUCAAGUUGGUUAGCUCUCAUACGUUCAGAAUGAGGUGAUAAAUUGUUUUAAUUCGUUUAAAAUCCCCAGGUUUAGAUUUAUAAUGGCCAAUGGAAGCAACAAUGGUAAAACGAGGAAAUCGCACAGUUAUAAACCCUACGACACGUCGAACUCAUCAUUUGUAAGACGGAUCACGACGCGAGUGACUGAGAUUCUCCCACAGCCUUCGACGUGGAUCAGCCGCUGGCUUUCUCCAGCUACAAAGCCAGACUUGAGGAAUGACAGCGACGAAGAAGAUGAAGAUGAAGACCAGAGGCAACCGGCGAAAAAACGACCGUGUUUAAAUACAUCUGUAGAUUUCCCACAAAAUCAUAUCUAUAGGAUUGGAUUAGGCGGUGAAGCAGGUGAUAUUAGCCCUAUACUAAGUAACAGGAUAGAUAAUGAUAAAGCGAUACCUGGGCCCAGUGGGCUUCAUUUGUCAAAGAAAACAAACUUUGUCUUUUCUACACCAGCUCCAGCACAAACACAGCAUGAUGUCAUUCCUAAAAUCAAUGGUGAUGAGGGAAGUGAUGGUGAAUCUACAAGUGGCUGUUCAUCUGUAGGCCCACAAGGGGAAAAAGCACCAUCCUCCACUUAUGCAAAAAUUGUGCCCAAGAGUAGACCACCACUCCAUUCAACAGCCACAAAUGUUCCCACUCCAUCCUCUUCACCAUCCCCAAGCCUAGCGUCAAAUUUACAAAGGUCUCCUGUUACGUCAAGACCCACGACAUUUUCUAAAUUGGACUUUAAUGUUUCAAAAAGGCCAAGUUUUGAUUCAUUUGUUUUUAAUAACCCUCUAAACAAGAGUUUGACAUUAAAUUCAAGUCGAAAUUCUUCUCUAAAUGAUUCAUCUGCAUCACCGUUUUACAAAGGAAGAACAAUGUAUGGAGGGUCGUCGAGUUGUAGGGAAGCUUUAAACUCCAAACUACUCUCACCCAGAGUGAGUGGUCCCAAGGUCGUCAGUGUGAAACCCUCUGCAACUCCAGAAGCUUCUAAAGAAAGGAUCGGCGCAUCUGCUAUGAGGAUCCUCAAAGCUCUAGAGCAGUUUUCAACUCCAAUGCCAGAUCCUAGAAAAACUGUUGGGAAGAGUGAAGGUGAAAAAAGAAAAAGGAAAUCACUUCCUCCUUAUGAAGAACUAAUACUACCUCAGAUGCCUGAUCUUUUGAGGAUAAAGAGGAAAGAGAGACCUGCACCGCCAAAACCACCCCAGGCAACAAUUGACAGUGUUGAUUCAACUUAUACCACGAACAAAGAUUUAACUUCAUCAGAUAGAUUGAGAAUUCCCAAUCCUGAGGAAAGGAAUUUUAUCGGGUGUAUCAGAGGAAGGAAGAUGGAAAACUUGGAGUUGGAGAGGGCAAAGCCAAUCAACCUGCCCAAUGUGAAAUUACCUAUUACAACCUUGCCAAACUUUACAUUUCAGAGUCUUCCAAAAGCUGACAACCCAUCAGAAAAAAGGCCUCAAACUGUGUUUCCUAAUUUAACAGAAGUUCCUUUAAGUAAAUCAUCAUCAAGUAAAUACAAAUUUUCCAAACCUAUUAUCGAAAGUUCUGAUGGCCAUUCGGUAAUAAGCAUAAAGCCUACUAUAAAAUUCAGUGAACCAUUGAAUGCAGAUGCUAAUGAGAAAAUUUCAAACAAAACUAACAUUUCCAGCAAUGUUACAAUUUCAUCAUCCAGUACAUCCAAAGAUUCUAUUGGCCUAUUGCCUAGUAUGAAAACUCCUAGUCCGACUAAGAAAAGUAAAGAAGUGAUGUUUGAUUAUAAACCUAUGGCUAAACUAAAAGAGAAGAAAGUGAAAGAAACAGAAGUUUCUGUGGAAGUCAAGCCUUCUGCUGAAUUUAAAAAUGGAAGUGUUAUGGAUUUUUUCAAAAGUAAUACUAGUACCAGUUUCGGAGAUAAAUUCAAAGCCCCCAAAGGAAGUUGGGCAUGUGAUACAUGUCUUGUAAAUAAUAGUGCCGAUAAGUCAAAAUGUGCCGCCUGCGAAACCCCAAAACCUUGUAAAAAAGAACAAAUCAUUAGUAGUAGUACUUCAAGUGAUAAUAAAUGGGAGUGCAAAAAUUGUAAAUUAGAAAAUAGUGAGACUGAAGAAAAGUGUAAAUCGUGUGGUGCUGAGAAAAAUGGUUACAUCAAAACACCUUUGGCUAAAGGAUUACAAGCAUUCAUAAAAGACAAGGACACUUGGGAGUGUAAAGAAUGUUUUGUAAAGAACAAAAUGACAGAUAACAGUUGUGUAGCUUGUACUUCAUCAAAACCAGGAUCUUCCAAUGUCUCAGAAAGCUCAGCGACAGUAACAACAACGGUUUCAUCUUCGGCUCCAAGCCUGAGCUCAAUGUUCAAAAAGCCUGAAGGCAACUGGGAAUGUGACGUCUGUUUAGUAUCUAACAAAGCCGGUGUUGACGCCUGUGUCUCAUGUAGCACACCUAAACCUGGUGCAAAACCUGCUGAGUCAAAGCCAGCUGCCACAUUUCAGUUCGGCAUUCCUCCAGCAACUACUGCAGGAGCUGGAAGUACGUCCAGCAGUGCAUUUUCUUUAGGAAACACUUCGACUAUAGAAACAUCAAAGCCUGCAACCUCUGGUUUCACUUUUGGGAUUCCAUGUACUGAAAACUCUAAGAAAAUUGAAUUUAAAUUUGGAAUUCCUCCGCCGGUUAAUAAAGAUAAAGAAGAGUCUUCUACUUCAAAAGAGGUAAAAGAGGAGACAUCGAAGGAAACACCGCCAAUUGAAAAAGAGAAACCACAAAUAUCUUUGUCCAGUACAUCAAGCACGCCUACUUCUAAUCUCUUUUCAUUUGGAAGUAAUUCGACAACUGAUGCAAAGAAAGAUCCUUCAGAAGUAACUGAAGAGGGAGCUAAGCUGAAAAAACGAGUCAGGUUCGGGGAUCCUCUCGUAGAGCAAAAAACAAUAAGCAGUGAUACCGAUAAAUCGCCAUUUUCAUUUGGAAAAGUUUCUACUAAAAACGAUAAAAAGGGUAAUGUCUUUGGGUUUUCCCAACAGCCACCGAUGUUUGGAAACACUUCAAUUAAAACCAGUUUGAAUUCGUCAGAAGUGCCUAAUACAAACUCUUUGUUUAAAUUCAGUAGCGAUACAUCUUCAGUCAGUUCAACGACAGAAACGACUAACACACCUCCAAACGCUACAAACUCUGAAGCCGGCACAACCAACACUAAUAUUUUUGGAGCUGUUUUAAAUAAUGCUACAACAAAUGAAACUAGCAACAAAAAUCCUCCUUCCUUCAGCUCUGAUAAUAAAAAUCUUUUUGGAGGGUCAUCGUUGUCAUCUGCUAGCGAGGUGAAAAAACCUUUGUUUACAGAUGGGUUUGGAUCUAUGUCAAAUAAAAAUAUAUUCCCUUCUUCUGACAAUAUGACAAAAGAUAACAAAUUAAUCUUUGGAUCGAAUGCAAAACCGAUAUUCGGUGCCUCAAACGAAACAGGCGCAAAUGCAAUUUUCUGCUCAAAACAAGAAGAAAAAACCCCGUUGAUAUUUGGAAAUACAGUUGAAACUCCCAGUACAAUGUUUGGUGCGGAUGAUUCAAAAAAAGAUGACAAAAAUACGAUAGCUUUCGGCUCAAAAAGCUUAGAGUCUAUCUUUGGCAAGGCUUCAGUUCCUGAAGAAAAGAAGUUAGAACAGCAAAGCAUGUUCACUUCUAAACCAGGAAAUUCUUUGUCCACCCAAGCUCAAGAGAAUAAUUUAUUCACUUCUAAAAUCAAAGCUUUUCCCCAGGCGACACAACAAGAGGAAAACAAAAAUACUUUUAUGAGAUUUAACACAGGAACAAAUUUCUUCAACAAUAACAACAUGUUUGCCAGCAAAAUUGAAGGGACUGCAUUUGAUGUAAAACCUGCAACCACGUCAUCAGUGCCCAGCUUUGGUAAUCCGAUACAGACUGUCGGUAACAGUACAGAAAACAAACCCACUUUCUCUUUCAACUCUAUGUCAAACCAGCCAAGUUCUACUGGUUUCGGAAUGUUCAACAAAGAGCCAGAAAACAAGCCUUUAACUGGUGGAUUUAGUUUCAACAUGGCGGCAAAACAACAACCACAACAGCAGCCGCCUCAGUCGACAAACAACUUUGGAUUUGGAUCGUCUUCUUUCGAACCCACACCGGUUUUCAAUAAUCAAAAUCCACCACAGACUUCUAAUGCAGUUUUCACAUUUGGCUCAUCACACCAAGAGCCUCAGCAGCCAAUGUUUGCAUUUCAGCAAGGACAGCAGGCAAAUACAAUGGCAUCGCCAUUUGCAUUCGGCUCGCAGAAUUCGGUUGCUAGCCAGCCCCAGCAACAACCCGUACAACCUCCUAUGUUCGAUCCCAACAUAAAACCCAAUUUCAACUUUAGUGGUGGUUCAACGCCUACGUUUUCCGCUCCUACAGCCAACCCCGAUGAAUUAGAUCGAAGGAAAAUAAGGAAAGCUUUUAGAAGGACUAGGUAAGGUGAAGUGAUAAGAAAUGAAACUAGACAAAACACUCGCUCAUAGACCCGUGAGCACCCUUCAGACUGACGAAAAAUUAUUACCUCAUUUUGUCACAAAAGCUUCUUCGUUGUUUUUCAAAAUCGUUCUAUAAAUUUUAUUUUUCUUAACAAAACAUUUUUUAUUUGUAAUUAUAUUUAUUGAUUUUGUUAUUGUGAAGAAGAUUUUGUGUGCGGGUCUUGUUUAUCGCUAAGCACAAAUGUGUGCGUUAUAAAGAUAAACAAAUACUUUCUUACAAGUGAGAAGGGGCCGAAUAAAAAAUUAAAUUUUCAAAAUUAUUAGUACUUUCAGAUGAAGGUUCGAUACUGGUUUUAAAGUUGUAAAUUUCUUUUCACAAUGAUAAAAACCUGUAUGAUAUAAAUAUUGUGUACAUUACAUUUAAAAAAUAUAUAAAUAUUUAAUUAUAUACACAUUGUCAGCUUAUAAUUAAUUUCAAUGUUACUUAAUUUAUAUUAAGGUUGCAUUGUAUAUAGUCUAAAAUAAUAAAUUGUAUAAAUUAGUGGCCCGUUCUAUAAUAACACUAUCUUAUAUUUGUAUUCUUCUUAACUUGGUAUCUCCAUCCACCAUUGUGAACAUUCUCCGAUAAUUUAAAUACAUACGUAUAUAUAAAAGUAUAUAAAGGUGUAAAGCAAAUUAGUUAAUAAAUAUAUAUAUGACUAUAUACGUAACUGUUACAAAUAAGAAUGGUAAAUACUUUUUUUUAAAUAACUAUUACUAUUAUUAAAGGGGAUGCGACGGGGAAAAUAUGGCCUUAAUAAGUAGUGCCAUUCUGGAGAGAAUAUUCACAAUGAUAUCGAGAAAAAUAAUGUUACUAUUUAUAGGCUGUAUCUAUCAGAUUCUGCUAUUUGGGAUUAUGUUAUAAUGCUGUAGUUUGUUCAAUUAGGUUGUAGAAGCAUACAGAAAGUAUAUGGCCUGGCCCAUGGAAUUCAUGUGUGCAUAUUUUAUAAUUUAGAGGAAAAAAAUUCAAAAAAAAAUUUUUUUGAAUUUUUAAAUAUUUAAUAUUUUUGUAUACAUGUUGAAUUGAUGAGUUUUUUUAAAUGGAGAAGAUGCAUAGAUAAAAUGCAAAACAAGCCCCUGUGAUAUUCGAGUGGGCCAGGCACCGAGGCAGGCUCACUCCUACUUUUUUGUAAAUAAACGAAUCGGUCAAGGAUUUGCUGUAAAUAAUCUGAGACUCGUGAAAAUAUGAAUUUUUUUAAUAUGAAAAAGGAGUUAGACUGCUUAGUGUGUGUAAAUAUAGACUUAACGUUAGAUAAGAGAUUUAGGACUCCUAUUUGUGAAUGUUUGUGCGUGAACGUAUGUUUAAACUCUGGUUCAGUUUAAUUUAAAAAUUCGCCGUGUUCGAAAGGUUUAAACUGGAAUGCAAAAGAAGACAGACAUUUUUAUAUGAAAUAAAAUCAACACGAUGCAGAAUCAUCUAGUCACAACUAGGAAAACAUGAGACAACUAUUGUGCCCAGCACCGCAUUUAGUUUAUCCUCAAAAUGUUAAACAAUUUUUUCCUUAUUAUUUUUUUGUAAUUGUGCUCCUAAUCUUAUCAAAAGUGAAAGGCAUUCAUUUAACUCGAUUAUAUAAUCCAUUUGAUAAAAUAGAAAGACUGUUUACAAGUUAUAUUCAUGUAUAAUUUUAAUUAUUGAAAAAUUUUGUUUGAUACUGUACAAUACUGAAUCGGGGGAGAAAACGAAACAGGCCCGCAAGAUGAUUUGUGGCAUCUUUGUGAACAGCGGUGAAGCCCACAGAGGAGGAGCUUAGAGCACGUGUCCCCGCAAGUGCUGACUUCUUUCGUACACGGGAGAACUGUCACUUCUUUUCCACACGGGCAGGAUCUAGGAAGAGAAAGAGGGCAUGGCCCGCAUUCACCUUUGUGGCAGAUGACUUCACACGUGUGCUCCCCACAGUCCAACAGUUUU
rnacentral:misc_RNA from 1 species